rnacentral:rRNA from 1 species
UUGGAGGAAAGCAGGGGAUCGUAAGACCUUGCGCUUUUGGAGCGGCCGAUGUCUGAUUAGCUAGUUGGUGGGGUAAUGGCCUACCAAAGCUCCGAUCAGUAGCUGGUCUGAGAGGACGGCCAGCCACACUGGGACUGAGACACGGCCCAGACUCCUACGGGAGGCAGCAGUGGGGAAUUUUGGACAAUGGGCGCAAGCCUGAUCCAGCCAUGCCGCGUGAGUGAAGAAGGCCUUCGGGUUGUAAAGCUCUUUCAGCCGGGAAGAAAAGGCUGCGAUUAAUAAUCGCAGUUCAUGACGGUACCGGAAGAAGAAGCACCGGCUAACUACGUGCCAGCAGCCGCGGUAAUACGUAGGGUGCGAGCGUUAAUCGGAAUUACUGGGCGUAAAGGGUGCGCAGGCGGUUUUGUAAGUCAGAUGUGA